UGUCUGGGCACAGCAGCAGUCCUUGGCACAAAGAGAUUAGACUGGCUGGCAAUGUUAGACAUAUCUAUGCACGCAUGCAGUGGUCAGAAUGUCAACUGCUCUUCAUUGGUAGCUUCCUUCCAGCAUAGUGGAAAGGUGUUAGCUAUUUCCAGCAAAGGGAAAACAAACGCAAAAGGGCAAAUCUGUCACUUCUAUUUGUAUUCUAGGCUUAGAAAAAGCGGAUCUCACUGAAAAAAAAAAAAAAAAAAAUCAUAUUUAAUGUGACAUGCUGAAUUUAUAGCGUGAGAAAUGCAGCCAAGGAGAACUUGAAGAAGCAUCAAAGCACGUCUGCAAAAUCUCUUAGAUACAACUGCAUAUUACGUAUUCAAGUGUUUUGACUGUAAUAAAAUAACGUAUUAGUGUGUUUCAGUAAAACUGUAGCUGCGUAUUUGUACCUAAAAUGCCAAGUAGAUGUUUUUGUUUCUCUAAUAGAAUGUCAUUUAUGUAAAUA